GUGCGUAACAGCUCACUGGUCUAGUGGUUCCGCGCCGACACUGUAGCGGGGCUCAAGCACACCACCGAAGACGCGGCAGUAGCUUUGCUACUGGGUAGGAGAGCGUCCCAUGCGGGGCGAAGCGGCGGCGCAAGCCCGCCGUGGACCGCAUGGGAGUGAGAAUGCAGACAUGAGUAGCGAAAGACGGGUGAAGAUCCCGUCCGCUGGACGACCAAGGGUUCCAGGGCCACGUUCAUCGUCCCUGGGUGAGUCGGGUCCUAAGGCGAGGCCGACAGGCGUAGUCGAAUGGACGAACGGGUCGAUAUUCCCGUACCGGCAUGCAACCGGCAAAACCGAAUCCGCGAGUACUAACCUCCGGGUCCGGGCUUACGUCUCCUUCGGGAGCCGGAUGCCCUGGCCUGUUGGGACCGUAACGGUAGUAGGUCAGCGCGGGAGUGACGCAGAAGGGUAGCCGGCCGCGGAGGUGGUCUUCCGUGGUCAAGCACGCAGCCCGUCCCACAGGCAAAUCCGUGGGGCGCGUGGGCGAGGUGCGAUGAUGGGCGCCGCAGGGCGCGAUAUCCGGUGAUCCCGGCUGCCGAGAAAAGCUUCGGCGUGAGGCGGCGUGCCGCCCGUACCCCAAACCGACACUGGUGGUCAGGUAGAGAAUACCAAAGCGAUCGAGCGAAUCCUGGUCAAGGAACUCGGCAAAUCACUCCCGUUCCUUCGGUUUAAGGGAGACCCCCGAUGGUGAACACACUUGCUGUGGGAGCUUUUGGGGGUGGCACAGACCAGGGGGUAGCGACUGUUUACCAAAAACACAGGAGCGUGCGAAGGCGCAAGCCGCUGUAUACGCUCUGACGCCUGCCCGGUGCCGGAAGGUUAAGAGGAUCCGUCAGGCCUCGGCCGAAGCGGUGAAUUCAAGCCCCGGUAAACGGCGGUGGUAACUAUAACCAUCCUAAGGUAGCGAAAUUCCUUGUCGGGUAAGUUCCGACCUGCACGAAUGGCGUAACGACUUCCCCACUGUCUCGACCAGGAGCUCGGCGAAAUUGCAGUACGAGUAAAGAUGCUCGUUAAGCGCAGAAGGACGAAAAGACCCCGGGACCUUUACUAUACCUUGGUAUUGGCAUUCGGUGUGGAUUGUGUAGCAUAGGCGGAAGGCUUCGAAGCCACGGCGCCAGCCGCGGUGGAGCCGCAAGGUGAAAUACCGCUCUGUUCGCAUUGGAUGUCUAACCUCGACCAGUCAUCCUGGUCAGGGACAGUGCCUGGCGGGUAGUUUAACUGGGGCGGUUGCCUCCCAAAGAGUAACGGAGGCGCUCAAAGGUUCCCUCAGCCCGGUUGGCAAUCGGGUGGCGAGUGUAAGUGCACAAGGGAGCUUGACUGCGAGACUGACGGGUCGAGCAGGGACGAAAGUCGGAACUAGUGAUCCGGUGCCGGUGUACGGACGCGGCAUCGCUCAACGGAUAAAAGGUACCCCGGGGAUAACAGGCUGAUCAUUCCCAAGAGUCCAUAUCGACGGGAUGGUUUGGCACCUCGAUGUCGGCUCGUCGCAUCCUGGGGCUGGAGCAGGUCCCAAGGGUUCGGCUGUUCGCCGAUUAAAGCGGCACGCGAGCUGGGUUCAGAACGUCGUGAGACAGUUUGGUCUCUAUCCUCUGCGCUCGUCGGAAUGUUGAGGAGGCCUGCCCAUAGUACGAGAGGACCUGGGUGGACGAACCUCUGGUAUGCCGGUUGUCACGCCAGUGGCACGGCCGGUUGGCUACGUUCGGAAGGGAUAACCGCUGAAAGCAUCUAAGCGGGAAGCCUGCUCCAAGAUAAGCAUUCCAUAGGACUACGGGUCCUUGAAGUCCCCAUGCAGAACACGUGGUUGAUAGGCCGGACGUGGAAGCCCCGCGAGGGGUGGAGCCGACCGGUACUAACGGACGAAAGGCAACACGAC
rnacentral:rRNA from 1 species